rnacentral:lncRNA from 1 species
GGUCACCUCUUGAACACUUUACUGCUUAGAAAUUUCUUCUGCCAGAUACCCUAAAUCAUCAGUCUCAAGUUCAAAGAUCCACAGAUCCCCAGGGCAGGGGUAAAAUGCCACUAGGUUCUUUGUUAAUGCAUAAUAAAAGUGACAUUUGCUCCAGUUCCCAGUAAGUUCCUCAUCUCCAUCCGAAACCUCAUCAGCAUGGAUUUCAUUGUCCAUAUGACUAUCAACAUUUUGGUCACAAUUUAACAAGUCUCUAGGAAGUUCCAAACUUUCCCUUAUUUUCCUGUCUUCUUAUGAGCCCUCCAUACUCUUCCAGCCUCUGCCUUUACCCACUUUCAAAGCUGCUUCCACAUUUUCAGGUAUCUUUAUAGCAAUGCACUACUCCUUGGCACUGAUUUUCUGUAUUGGUCUAUUCUCACAUUUCAAUAAAGAAAUAUCUGAGACUGGGUAAUUUAUAAAGAAAAGAAGUUUAACUGGCUCAUGGUUCUGCAGGCUAUAUAGGAAGCAUAGCAGUUUCUGUUUCAGGGAGACCUCAGGAAACUUACAAUCAUGGUGGAAGGUGAAGGGGAAGCAAGCACACCUUUUUUUUUUUUUUUUUUGAGGCAGAGUUUCACUCUUGUCACCCAAGCUGGAGUGCAGCGGCAUGAUCUCGGCUCACUGCAACAUCCGCCCGCCCAUUUAUGGUUCUGAACACUUUUGAAGCUCUUUUCCAAGAGGCUGCAAAAG